rnacentral:tRNA from 3 species
UGAGGGGUCGUCUAACGGUAGGACACAGGACUUUGAAUCCUGGUAUGAAGGUCCGAUUCCUUCCCCCUCAGCAA